AAUUUUUCAAUAUAAAAAAAUAGAUAAAUUGUAUUGUUAUCUUCUGAAUUUUUGGCGAAGUUUCACAUUACCUCUCGAACUCCUAAAAUGGACAUCUAACAUUCUAAACUUUAAUAUUUCGUUUAUGUUACCUCUUCCGUUAGUUUUCCGUCAAGCUCCGUUAAGCGAAAACUGAUAGAAGGAGUAAAACUAAUGAAAUAUUAGAGUUUAGAGUGUUAGAUGUCUAUUUUAGGAGUUUGGGGGUUAAGUGAAACUCGCCAAAAGUUCAGGAUGUAGCAGUACAAUUUACCCCGUAGGACUUUUGACUAUAAAUUAUUUUAUUAUAAUAUGUUACUUAUGGAUUGACUACUAACCCUCAAGUUAGUGAUCAUGCUUAAUUUUGAAUAUAUAUAUAUAUAUAUAUUAUCCUAAAAUAAAUUAUACUACAAUUUAUCUUAUAUUUUAUUGUAAUAAAAUAAAAGCGAAAGAAAUGAAUUAGAGUGGCUUAAAGAUAAAAAAAGUGCGAUACUAACUACCUACGAUGCUCGAACACUCUACUGUCCUGAUGUACUCGCUAAUAUGAUUGAUUUAUAAUAGGUGUCCUCACUCGAAUAUAGAGAUUUUAAUACUCAGUUAAUUUUCCGUAGUACUCAUUUGUCCCUUUUAUCUUUAGAAGCAUUGUUAUAAAAAAUACACUUAUUUCCUAUGAAAUUAUGCAAUGUAAUUUUAUUGUAGUUUAACAUAAAAUUUUUGUACUUCAUUUCAGCCAAUUAAAAAUUUUUAAUAUAAAAAUAUAAAAUAAUAUUUUAUAAUACUUUAGAACAUUGCUUCUAAAGUAUGAUAAAUUAUGGUAUGAUUUAUUUUAGGAUAAAAAAUAUAUAUAAAUUCAAAAUCAAGUAUGAUUACUAACUUGAGCUUUAGUAGUCAAUCCAUAAAUAAUAUAUUAUAAUAAAAUAAUUUAUAGUUGACGUAAAUUGCAUUGGUACCCCCUGAACUUUUGGCGAGUUUUACUUAACCCCCCAAACUCCUAAAAUAGACAUUUAACACCAUAAACUCUAAUAUUUCAUUUGUUUUACCUCUUCUGUCAGUUUCCGGUUAGCGGAGUUUAACGGAAAACUAACGGAAGGGGUAAUUAAUAUGAACGAAGUAUUAGAGUUUAGGAUUAAACACUACAACAAAAAUGGUCUAUAGCGACACUUUUAAAUGUAGGUACAUGUCAAAAAAGUGCUGCUAGCUAAAAUUACCGACACUUUUAAAAAGUGUUGCUAUAUGUGGGGUCGCUAGGUAUAUAGUGACAGUUAAUGAGUGUCGCUAUAACAUAAAAGAGUGCUGCUAAUUUACCAACACUUAUUUAAUCAUUUAGCAACCGCCGAAACUCUAUCUCGUUGGCUGCGGUGGCGGAGGAGGACGACAGUAAAGGCUCUUCGUCUAGAAUUUCAGUGGAUUGAGUGAAAAGAGAAGAAAAGAUGGUAAAUGAUUUUUCUUUUUUUUUUUUUUUCUUUUCUGUUUGUAAUCGGGCCAAAUGGACUGGGUGUGAUGGGUUGAGUAGAGUAAUCUUUUAUUUUUGGUUGGAUUGGGCUUUAUAUUUAGGCAUUAGUAGAUGUGUUUUUAAGUUUAGCACAAAUGAGACACUUACUCAAAAGUGUCCCAAACAUGUGUCCUUAUAACCUAAUUCUGUUGUAGUGAGAUGUCCAUUUUAGGAGUUCGAGGGGUAAAGUGAAACUUCGUCAAAAGUUCAGGAGGUAACAAUACAAUUUACCCAUAAAAAAAUUAUAAUUUAACAAAUUGUAGGAUGGAAAUGUGAAAG
rnacentral:lncRNA from 1 species